rfam:Firmicutes bacterium ML8_F2 scaffold_1, whole genome shotgun sequence.
UAGGGUGACAGCAAGGUUUCAGAUGCUCAGUCUGGCCAUGAAAAAACCCUGACUUCCCUGCUGCCGGCAUUGGCAGGUGCCAAUAUGAUCUACGGCGGGG